GUGAAACUAGUCAUAAUGCUGCUAGGUGUAAUCUAUAUCCCAAGGAAAAGAAAAAAAGACAAAGAACUACUGAGGUUGGGCCAUCAUCGUCUCAAGUACCAAAUACAAUCUCUCUCACGCAACCAUCACAAACAAUCCCCGACAUGGUGGUUAUGAGUGAAGUUUAAUAAUUCUAUGAAUGUGUUCCAUUUAGUUUAAUUUUGCAAACAUGAAUGGUAGUUUGGAGUUUUUC